UUUGUUACUUCAAACCAAUCGGACUUCGGUCUGACAUCAAGUGAUAUUGAACAAUUUAGCUGAUCGCACGGUCUAAGAACCGGCGACAUAUCCUUCAAAUGUCUGCCUUAUCAACUUUCGAUGGUAGAUUACGCGCCUACCAUGGUUGUAACGGGUAACGGAGAAUCAGGGUUUGAUUCCGGAGAGGGAGCCUGAGAAACGGCUACCACAUCCAAGGAAGGCAGCAGGCACGCAAAUUACCCACUCCCGGCACGGGGAGGUAGUGACGAAAAAUAACAAGCUGGUCUCAAUGAGUUCCAGCAUUGUAAUGGGAACAAUUUAAAUCUUUUAUCGAGGAUCUAUUGGAGGGCAAGUCUGGUGCCAGCAGCCGCGGUAAUUCCAGCUCCAAUAGCGUAUAUUAAAGUUGUUGCGGUUAAAAAGCUCGUAGUUGGAUCUAGGAUUAGGGCUACGGUCGUUCAGCUUGGACGUACUGUAUGCCCGACUCCUUUUCUCUAGUAUUCGAUUGUUGCUCUUAAAUGAGUGACUUUAGUUGCUGGAACUUCUACCUUGAAAAAAUUGAAGUGCUCAAAGCAGGUU
rnacentral:rRNA from 1 species